UACGUAGGGGGCAAGCGUUGUCCGGAUUUAUUGGGCGUAAAGAGCGUGUAGGCGGCUGGGUAGGUCCGUUGUGAAAACUCGAGGCUCAACCUCGAGACGCCGAUGGAAACCCUCCAGCUAGAGUCCGGAAGAGGAGAGUGGAAUUCCUGGUGUAGCGGUGAAAUGCGCAGAUAUCAGGAAGAACACCCGUGGCUAAGGCGGCUCUCUGGGACGGUACUGACGCUGAGACGCGAAAGCGUGGGGAGCGAACAGG
rnacentral:rRNA from 1 species